CUGCAAAUAUUCUUGCUGUUCUGAUUUUGUAAUAAUCAUGGUGGGCUAAACAUUCACUAUAUUAAGACCAUACAUAUGUCUUCUGACCUAAUUCUUUCCCUAGGUCUGGUUUUAUCAAUUCCUGUGAUAAAC